UACCUGCAGCUCGAGUGGUAACCGUUAUUAUUGGGCCUAAAGCGUCCGUAGCCGGUCUGGUAAAUAUCUGGGUAAAUCGUGAGGCUUAACUUCACGAAUUUCGGAUAGACUGCCAGACUUGGGAUCGGGGGAGGUCAGAGGUACUCCAGGGGUAGCGGUGAGAUGUUGUAAUCCUUGGAGGACCACCGGUAGCGAAGGCGUCUGACUAGAACGAGUCCGACGGUGAGGGACGAAGCCCUGGGGCGCAAACCGGAUUAGAUACCCGGGUAGUCCAGGGUGUAAACGAUGUGGGCUUUGUAUUGGAGGUCCCACGUGGGCGUCCAGUGCAGAAGAGAAGUUGUUAAGCCCACCGCCUGGGAAGUACGGUCGCAAGGCUGAAACUUAAAGGAAUUGGCGGGGAGCACAGCAACGGGAGGAGCGUGCGGUUU
rnacentral:rRNA from 1 species